AAAAUUUUUUGAAAAUUUUCUUUCGGCACUGGCAACUAGGCCUAGGUGGCAGAUAUUUCGACAUUUGUCUAGCUACCUAUACCGGAUAUCUACACAAAGGAUUCAUACUUUUAUUGGAUUAUACAGACGCUGAUUUCAGUUUUUUACUGUCUUCAGACUUCAGCCUCAGGAAUUGUUGCCGUAGAACUAAGACUAAGUUAGCUGUGCCGAUUUGUGGACCUAAAAGAUUCAGUUUGCAACUUCAGGAUUGAAUUUUUUCUUGGCGGUUCGCUUGAUUGAACUUUGGAGGUGAUUGCAUCCAGGAUUCAUUGGACUUGGGCUGAGUGACGGAGCUUCGAGUCUAACUCUAGUUUCGCGAGUUGAUCAUGCCAAAGGUUAAGGCCAAGAAAAUAACGACCGCAGGUGCGAGGAAGGGAGAUGACACACCGAAGAGGAGGCCGGGUCGGCCGAGAGGUCCACGGGCGACGUCAACCCCCGCAAGUGUGGAUCUGGGGCUGGGAGGCGGCAACAACGGGCCAGGAAGGAGCGGUGAGUUAAAUCCCUCUCAGUCUCAAGUUGUCGAUGUUGAUGAAAAAAGUGGUAGGCCUAGGUCUAAAGUUGGUGAUAAAAUGGCAGAGCUAGAUCUAGAUCUAGUGGGGCGGGAAGGCCAGGCGCCCGUGGGCAGAUCUAUUGCUUGGCAUGAGAUAGUAGCUCAGGAGUCGGAUACCGGUAGCUCGGGGCAGGCUCAGCCAGCAGUUUCAGUGCCGGCGCGGUCGGCAGGGGUAGCCGAAGAUCUAGGCCUAGAUCUAGUGGAGGUCGGUGUUGAGAGAUCUGAGCCCCAGGCGCCUAGGCUUUCUGCCGUGUUGGGGGCACCGGAACCAUUUAUUAGCGCAUGCGACCCACUAGGUGUGGAAGUGGCUAUCUCACUGAAGGAAAAAAUUUGGGCAAGUGAAUAUAUAGAUUUGGGAGUGCUCCUUAAGCAUAAUAAUGCACGUGAUGAGUUUGGGGCCUUGAGUGUAGGUGACACCACUUUGAGUUUGUGUCAAUCGGGAUCUGGUCUUGGUUUGCAACUUCAACCUCAAUCAAAGGCUAAGAAAAUCAUGUCGGUAGAGCAGUGGACUUCGGUGUUUCUAGUAUUUGCCUCAAUUUACGCUGAGAAGCACAUUGAAAGGAGCAGGGAGCUCAUGAAAUAUAUGGAUUUGAUAAGGCAUGCAGCCCGUGCGUUUGCAGGUUAUGGCUGGCGUGACUAUGACACUCAGUUUAGGAGCAAGCAGGCGCGUUUACCCGGCGCGAUCCUGGGCGAGCGUCGACGCCGAGUUGUGGUUGAUGCUGGUGGCCUCUAAUGGUCCGCGGCAGCGCCACAAUUUACCCCAUGCCCCUCGCCAUCAGUUCUAAGGGGCAGUGUACAGUAACAUAUUCGUCCUUUGAU
rnacentral:misc_RNA from 1 species